UACGUAGGAGGCAAGCGUUGUCCGGAAUUACUGGGCGUAAAGCGCGUGUAGGUGGUGGGACAAGUCUGCUGUGAAAGCGCCUGGCUUAACCGGGCGAGGUCGGCGGAAACUGUCCGACUCGAGGACGGUAGAGGGGGGUGGAAUUCCCGUUGUAGUGGUGAAAUGCGUAGAGAUCGGGAGGAACACCUGUGGCGAAGGCGGCCCCCUGGGCCGGCCCUGACACUGAGACGCGAAGGCGUGGGGAGCGAACGGG
rnacentral:rRNA from 1 species